rnacentral:rRNA from 1 species
GCACAAGCGGUGGAUGAUGUGGAUUAAUUCGAUGCAACGCGAAAACCUUACCUACCCUUGACAUGUCUGGAACCUUGCUGAGAGGCGAGGGUGCCUUCGGGAGCCAGAACACAGGUGCUGCAUGGCUGUCGUCAGCUCGUGUCGUGAGAUGUUGGGUUAAGUCCCGCAACGAGCGCAACCCUUGUCAUUAGUUGCCAUCAUUUAGUUGGGCACUCUAAUGAGACUGCCGGUGACAAACCGGAGGAAGUGGGGAUGACGUCAAGUCCUCAUGGCCCUUAUGGGUAGGGCUUCACACGUCAUACAAUGGUCGGUACAGAGGGUUGCCAAGCCGCGAGGUGGAGCCAAUCCUAAAAAGCCGGUCUCAGUUCGGAUUGCAGGCUGCAAUUCGCCUGCAUGAAGUCGGAAUCGCUAGUAAUCGCAGGUCAGCAUACUGCGGUGAAUACGUUCCCGGGCCUU